GAUGAACGCUGGCGGCGUGCUUAACACAUGCAAGUCGAACGGAAAGGCCCUGCUUUUGUGGGGUGCUCGAGUGGCGAACAGGUGAGUAACACGUGAGUAACCUGCCCUUGACUUUGGGAUAACUUCAGGAAACUGGGGCUAAUACCGGAUAGGAGCUCCUGCUGCAUGGUGGGGGAUGGAAAGUUUCGGCGGUUGGGGCUGGACUCGAGGCUUAUCCGCUAGUUGGUGAGGUAGUGGCUUACCAAGUUUUUGACGGGUAGCCCGCAUUAGAGCGUGAACGGGGACAAUGGGACUGAGGGACGGCGCAGUCUGCUACCGGCCGCAGUAGGGGGGAGUAUGACACAACGGGCGGACGUCUGUGGUAACAACGUCGCGUUCGGGAUACCGUCUUAUUGGGGGAAAACCGCUGUCUCCGGAGACGAACCGGUAGUGACGGUAAUGGGUAAAGAAGCACCGGCUAACUACGUG
rnacentral:rRNA from 1 species